rnacentral:rRNA from 1 species
GACGAACGCUGGCGGCGUGCUUAACACAUGCAAGUCGAACGGAAAGGCCCUGCUUUUGUGGGGUGCUCGAGUGGCGAACGGGUGAGUAACACGUGAGUAACCUGCCCUUGACUUUGGGAUAACUUCAGGAAACUGGGGCUAAUACCGGAUAGGAGCUCCUGCUGCAUGGUGGGGGUUGGAAAGUUUCGGCGGUUGGGGAUGGACUCGCGGCUUAUCAGCUUGUUGGUGGGGUAGUGGCUUACCAAGGCUUUGACGGGUAGCCGGCCUGGGAGGGUGACCGGCCACCUUGCUCCUGCGAUACGCAGCAGUCUCCUACGUUCCGCAGCAGUGGGGAAUAUUGCACAGUGGGCGCACGCCUGAGGCAGCAAUGCCGCGUUCGUGAUGACGUCUUUCGGGUGGUAAACCUAUUUCUCCUGUGACGAAGCCUGCUUGACGGUACUUGGUAAAGAAGCCCCGGCUAACUACGUG